CGUGUGAGAUGAGUGCAAUUGUGCUGUAGUUUGAGCAUUCUUUGGCAUUGCCUUUGGGAUUGGAAAACACAGGACAGGUGACAAAUACUGAGUUUUUCCAUGUUCUAGGCACUGAUCUUGACAUAAGUAAGUGUUAGUCACUCAGUCAUGUCCAGCUCUUUGCAACCCAGUGGACUGUAGCCCACCAGGCUCCUCUAUCCAUGGAAUUCUCCAAGCAAGAAUACUGGAGUGGGUUGCCAUUCUCUUCUCCAGGGAAUCUUUCUGACCCAGGGAUCAAACCUGGGUCUCCUGCAUUGCAGGCAGAUUCUUUACCAUCUGAGUCACCAGGUAGAUGCAGUAAUAAGCUAGGCAGCUAUGAGGCUCAGAAAGCUUAAAGUAUAGGGGUGGAGGCAAAAAGUAAAUAGAAAAACAAAUAAUAAAGCUAAUUUACAUAUAAAAUAUAUGGGAAAGAGUAACAGGAGCACAGAGAGGAAACUUUAAAAAGAAGGCCAGGGAUUGUAUCCUGGAGGACGUGGCAUUUACACUUGGACCUGAAUGAAGAGAAAGAAAUCAGCUUUAAGAGGAUCUGGAGCAUUACAUUCCUAGCAAAGGCGUAGCAUGUGCAAAGGUCCUGAGGAGAGAACUGCUGCUGCUGCUGCUGCUAAUUCGCUUCAGUCGUGUCCGACUCUGUGCGACCCCAGAGACGGCAGCCCACCAGGCACCCCCGUCCCUGGGAUUCUCCAGGCAAGAACCCUGGAGUAGGUUGCCAUUUCCUUCUCCAAGAGGAGAGAACAGACAUAGCCUAUUUAAGAAUCAGAAAGGGGGACUUUCUUAGUGGGCCAGUGGCUAAGACUUCAUGAUCCCAGUUCAGGGGGCCCAAGUUCAAUCCUUGAUCAGGGAGCUGGAUCCCACACGCUGCUACUAAAAGCUUGCAUGCUGUACUGAAGAUCGAAGAUCCCACAUGCCACAACCAAGACCUGGGGCAGUCAAAUAAAAGAUAAUUUGUUUAAAAAAGACACUGUAAGAAAAGAAUCAGGAAGAAGCUGGUGUUAAGUGAAGCGUGAAGCAGAAGGGAAAUCAGAGAGACUGAAAGCCUGCUGAGGUGAGCAGCAUGGUAAACAGCACUGGCAGCCUCAACAUAAAAGAGGCUCCCAGCUGACAACCAGGAAAGAAACAGGACUUCACCCUUCAGCCUCGAGGAAUGAGAUUCUAUCCCCAACCUGAGUGAGCGGGGAAGUGACUUCUCCCCCCAAGACUCCAGAUAAGGGCCCAGGCUAACCAUCAUCUUGAUUUCACCUUGUGCAACCUGGAGCCAAGGAAUCAGUCAGAUGCACAGGACUUCUGACUUGCAGCAGUGAGAGGAAGAAGACGCCAUGUAAACCUUGAACAGACAGCUGCAGAUAUGUGAUGACUUGAGAAUUUCUGAAACAUCUGUCUACCUCUAAAAGAAGCAUACAGUUUUAAAGUCUCAAGACUGGAAAGAAUGUAAUGGUCAAAUACUGUAACCAAUCAGCUUGUGUUUUAAGUCCUUUUAUCUAUAUCCCCCAAAUGUCCUUUUAUCUAUAUCCCUCAAAUGUCACCAGCCUAUGAAUCACACCUCUGAUGAUAAGAAACUUAGUUAUUCCUCAAGCUCUAAGUGCUACACAGUCAUUCCUUACAAAGACAAACUUUAAUCCAAAACAUUUUCUGUAUGUUAAGUGUUCUAUUCUGUAUUAUAAGAUUCUAUAUUUGUAUCCUCAGAACCUAGAAAAACAUAGGUAUGCAAGUGCUCAGUGAGGUUGGUUGAAUGGAGUUGAAAAAAUUUCCUUGGGUUGUAUACUAUAUUGCCAUCUAGUUAAUUGUGCAUGUAUUGUAUUUUCCUAACUAGAUUGUAAACUCUGUGAGGGAUGACAUCUUGUUUUAUAUAUUUUUGUAUCCUCUGCCUUCCCUAGUAUUAUUAUAUAUGUAUAAUGCCCCAAAUAGCUAUUUGUUGAAUUUAAAAUGUGAGUGAAUGAGUGAAUGAAUAACUGAAUAAAUAAACAUUAUUAUUAGGC